GGGGAUCUAGCUCAGCGGUAGAGCGCUUGCCUAGCGAGCACAAGGCCCUGGGUUCGGUCCCCAGCUCCG
rnacentral:tRNA from 1 species